GAACGGGUGAGUAACACGUGAGUAACCUGCCCUUGACUCUGGGAUAAGCCUGGGAAACUGGGUCUAAUACUGGAUAUGACUUCUCACCGCAUGGUGGGGGGUGGAAAGAUUUAUUGGUCUUGGAUGGACUCGCGGCCUAUCAGCUUGUUGGUGAGGUAAUGGCUCACCAAGGCGACGACGGGUAGCCGGCCUGAGAGGGUGACCGGCCACACUGGGACUGAGACACGGCCCAGACUCCUACGGGAGGCAGCAGUGGGGAAUAUUGCACAAUGGGCGCAAGCCUGAUGCAGCGACGCCGCGUGAGGGAUGACGGCCUUCGGGUUGUAAACCUCUUUCAGUAGGGAAGAAGCGAAAGUGACGGUACCUGCAGAAGAAGCGCCGGCUAACUACGUGCCAGCAGCCGCGGUAAUACGUAGGGCGCGAGCGUUAUCCGGAAUUAUUGGGCGUAAAGAGCUCGUAGGCGGUUUGUCGCGUCUGCCGUGAAAGUCCGGGGCUUAACCCCGGAUCUGCGGUGGGUACGGGCAGACUAGAGUGCAGUAGGGGAGACUGGAAUUCCUGGUGUAGCGGUGAAAUGCGCAGAUAUCAAGAGGAACACCGAUGGCGAAAGCAGGUCUCUGGGGCUGUAACUGACGCUG
rnacentral:rRNA from 1 species